rnacentral:rRNA from 1 species
UACGAAGGGACCUAGCGUAGUUCGGAAUUACUGGGCUUAAAGAGUUCGUAGGUGGUUGAAAAAGUUGGUGGUGAAAUCCCAGAGCUUAACUCUGGAACUGCCAUCAAAACUUUUCAGCUAGAGUAUGAUAGAGGAAAGCAGAAUUUCUAGUGUAGAGGUGAAAUUCGUAGAUAUUAGAAAGAAUACCAAUUGCGAAGGCAGCUUUCUGGAUCAUUACUGACACUGAGGAACGAAAGCAUGGGUAGCGAAGAGGAUUAGAUACCCUCGUAGUCCAUGCCGUAAACGAUGUGUGUUAGACGUUGGAAAUUUAUUUUCAGUGUCGCAGCGAAAGCGAUAAACGCACCGCCUGGGGAGUACGACCGCAAGGUUAAAACUCAAAUGAAUUGACGGGGACCCGCACAAGUAGUGGAGCAUGUGGUUUAAUUCGAAGAUACGCGCAGAACCUUACCAACACUUGACAUGUUCGUCGCGACUCUAAGAGAUUAGAGUUUUCGGUUCGGCCGGACGAAACACAGGUGCUGCAUGGCUGUCGUCAGCUCGUGUCGUGAGAUGUUGGGUUAAGUCCCGCAACGAGCGCAACCCUCACUUUUAGUUGCCAUCAUUAAGUUGGGCACUCUGAAAGAACUGCCAGUGAUAAGCUGGAGGAAGGUGGGGAUGACGUCAAGUCCUCAUGGCCCUUACGUGUUGGGCUACACACGUGCUACAAUGGUAUCUACAACAGGAAGCAAGACUGCGAAGUUAAGCAAAUCCCUAAAAGAUACCUCAGUUCGGAUUGCACUCUGCAACUCGAGUGCAUGAAGCUGGAAUUACUAGUAAUCGUGGAUCAGCGUGCCACGGUGAAUGCGUUCCACGGGUCU